rnacentral:ncRNA from 1 species
UAUAAACUUAUGAUGAAGAGUAAGUAAAUUCUGUCACUUCAUUUCAGAGAGCUGAUGUUUGGUGAAAAUCAGUAUGAAUUUCAGUUUUGAAUGGACUUCUGAAGGCAAUCCGAAAUUUCAGUAGGUGCGACGUUUGAUUUGCGUUAUAAAAUCAGUGUAUGAAUGUACACAUAAGAGGAUGUUUUUACAUCAAGCAGGGUGGCACCGCAGGAGAUAUAUACGCUCUUGUCCCGGCA